AAGUGUUAAGAGACCCAAAGCCCGGAGAGUGGGCUCCCAGGACAGCUUGCUGGAGAUCACCUUCCGCUCCGGAGCCCUGCCCGUGCUCUGUGACCCCACGACCCCUAAGCCAGAGGACCUGCAUUCGCCGCCGCUGGGCGCGGGCUUGGCUGACUUUGCCCACCCUGCGGGCAGCCCCUUAGGUAGGCGCGACUGCUUGGUGAAGCUGGAGUGCUUUCGCUUUCUUCCGCCCGAGGACACCCCGCCCCCAGCGCAGGGCGAGGCGCUCCUGGGCGGUCUGGAGCUCAUCAAGUUCCGAGAGUCAGGCAUCGCCUCGGAGUACGAGUCCAACACGGACGAGAGCGAGGAGCGCGACUCGUGGUCCCAGGAGGAGCUGCCGCGCCUGCUGAAUGUCCUGCAGAGGCAGGAACUGGGCGACGGCCUGGAUGAUGAGAUCGCCGUGUAGGUGCCGAGGGCGAGGAGAUGGAGGCGGCGGCGUGGCUGGAGGGGCCGUGUCU
rnacentral:lncRNA from 1 species